CCGUAGGUCCUGUAGAAUAAGGUCCUCUAUUUAUCCCCAAAAGAGGUACAGUGUAGGUAAUGGAAGCUUCCCAUAUCACCCUGUGAAUGUGCCUCCACCCUGUUGCCAUGGGACCAGCUCUAAGGGUAAAAGAGAAGUUUAGUCUCCAUGCCCCAUUCAGUCCUCGUUCACU
rnacentral:sRNA from 1 species